GAAACUGGCUGCAAGGAAACAGAGAACAUGAAGUGCCUAGAAUUUGGUUUAAUGAUUAUCUGACUUUUAAGAAGUCAUUUCUUCAUUAUGUUCAUGUGGCUUUAUCCUUUACGGGUGAGCAUAUUACAAGACCAUAGACUUUUAACAGGAAAACUAAAGAAGGCUGCUUAAGACACUACUAAAGAAAGAUGGCAGUAUUACCCGUCAGCCGAACGGUUGUAUAUCGCUGCUGCUGAUAGAAUGACGUGCUGGUGCUGAAGAGGGAGCAUCCUGCCAGGAAACAGAGGAGCAGACCCGUUAAUUCCCCAGCAGACACGAAAAGUGAAGCUCCU
rnacentral:lncRNA from 1 species